GCGGGAUGCACAGUGAGUCCCUGAGGAUGUGAUUCAGACGUCCUGUCCCUGCCCACCUGGACUCCACGCCAGCCCUGCCUCCCUCGCCAUCUCUGGCUCCAUGAACCGUGCAACGGGCUUCCUGAGCUGCCCACGUCAGUGCCUCCAGGAGCUGCGUGCCGUGGAUUCCUCCCCUGUGCCCCGUUCCCUCCCACACUCACAGUGCGUGUUGUCCCAUGGUCUCGCCCGCUGUUCUCCAUUGGUGCGAGGUCACUCCCACCUCAGGAAGCUUAGUCUAGGCCUUGUUUUGCAUCCUCUGCGCUCUGUCUCAUACUGUCCCUCUCUCCCACCGUGGUUCAGUGACAGGGACAGGCUUCAUGGCCAGGACUGCUGAGGCCGACUCGUGGCUUUGUGAUUUCUUCCUCUGGUUGCAGUUGGAUCGAGCUCUUUCUUGCUGCCUGGCACCGACACGGUGAGGUGUGGAGUGGGUAUUUCUGGGUCCCUGUGAAGGCCUCGGAGCUGUGCUGGGAGCAGCUGACACUUGGGCCUUGCUCUCGUGGUAUGCCAGCUUCACGCACGGGAGGAGCUGUGCUCCCCCAGGGCAACUCACUGCUGGGACCAGGCUCUGUGUUGCACCUGUCGUGCCACAGUGUGAGCCACAGUGCCCCCUGGCACUGCCACCCCCAGCUGCCACUGCUGCCCCUGUCCUUCGGUCUCUGCCCCAGAUGCCUGGGUGACGGCUCUGCUGAGCUCUGGAGGGGGCUCCAGGCAGCCUGCUGCUGCUGUAGAAGAAUGCCCAAGGCAACGAACCCGGGAAGAUGAGGGCUAUCCUGACUCACGGACUCCGAGGUUUCAGUGCCUGUUUUCCUGGGCCUGAGGCAGUUCACGGAGGCGGAGCACCAGGCAGAGCUACACAAAACCCACAGGGCCGGAAGUGAAGAGAAAGUGGGGGUGCUAGGGUUCACUGUCCCCUUUGAGGACAGCUCCCCUAUGACCAGAAGACCCCCCAGCCCUGCUGUCAGGGCUCCCACCUCCUCUGGCCAGCAGGGAGCUGCACAUGUGGCCUUGGGG
rnacentral:lncRNA from 1 species